CACGUAGGGCGCAAGCGUUGUCCGGAAUUAUUGGGCGUAAAGAGCUCGUAGGCGGUCUGUUACGUCUGCUGUGAAAACCCGGGGCUUAACCCUGGGCUUGCAGUGGAUACGGGCAGACUAGAGGCAGGUAGGGGAGAAUGGAAUUCCCGGUGUAGCGGUGAAAUGCGCAGAUAUCGGGAGGAACACCGGUGGCGAAGGCGGUUCUCUGGGCCGAUACUGACGCUGAGACGCGAAAGCGUGGGGAGCGAACAGG
rnacentral:rRNA from 1 species